ensembl:lncRNA novel transcript
GACACUUGAAGACACACACAGAGGGAAGAAAGCAAUGCGAAGAUAGAGGCAGAGACUGAGGUGACAUGGCUAGAAGCCAAAAGAAUGCCAAGAAUCACAGGAAACCACCAGAAGAGUGCAAGAUCAAGGCACCAGCAGAUUCGGAGUUUGAUGAGAGACUACUUCCUGGUUCAUAGAUGGUGCCUUCUCACUGUGUCCUCACAUGGCGGAAGGGGCAAACAAGAUUUCUGAAGUCUCUUCAAGAACAGUAAUUCCAUUCAUGAGAGCUCUGCCCACAUGACCUAGUCACCUCCCAAAGGCCCUAUCUCCCAGUAGGGAGUUAGGAUUUCAGUGUACAUAUAUUGGGUGAACAAAAUCAUUCAGAUCAUAUACUAUUUUCAUUUAUAUCCAUUUGAUACCCACUUCACUGAUUUCAGUCUUUUUAAAGUUAUUGAGAAUUGUUCUGUGGCCUAUGAUAUGUUUCAUCCUCAUGAAUGUUCUAAGUGAACACUAAAGAAGACAUAUAAAGCAUGAACAACUAUAUGAAAAGAUGUUCAUCAUUAUUAAUUAUAAAGGAAAUGCAAAUCAGAACUACAAUAAGAUAACACUUCACAUCUCAAGCUAUUAUUAAAAAAUCAAAAGAUAGCAGGUGUUGGUGAGAAUGCAGAGAAAUUGAAACCCUUGUUCCCCAUUGGUGGGAAUGCAAAUUGAUGCAAACUUUCUGGAAAACAGUAUGCAUGUUGCUUUAAAAAUAAAAAAUAAAACUAUCAUAUAAUCGAGGAAUAUUACUUCUGGAUGUAUAUCGAAGAGAAUUAAGAUCAGAAAUUUGAAGCAAUAUCUGCACUCUCAUGUUCAUUGCAGCAUUAUUCCCAAUAGCCAAAAUUGGAAACAGCCCAGUGUCCAUUGGCAAAUAAAUAGAUAAAUAAAAUAUGGUAUAUAUA